rnacentral:piRNA from 1 species
GACCCACAGAUGAGAACAGAUUAUCAGGAGC